rnacentral:lncRNA from 1 species
UGUCCUUUCAUUCGAGUUUAUAAUGUUUUUUCGUUUCUGAUAUUUUCGGCAUCUAGAAGUCACAUUCGAUAAAAAUAUUGUUAAUGGAUUUCAUCUAAGAAAUAAUUAAGGUAGACUCGUUUAUGAUUAUAUCUUUCAUUCACAAGGGAUUCGUAUCUAUAUAUGAAAGGCUUUGUUAUAGUUAAGGAAAACUUUAAAGUUGCCUAGUACUUGAACUAUAACAUGUGUUGGCUUUAAUUUUAUGUGUACUUCAUAAGUUUGGUGUUUGUUACUAAAACUAAAGCUUUUUACACAACCAAAUAAUUAAACUUUUCUCCUUUUUCCAUGGAGAAUGCCAACGAUACAUUUUCUUUCCCUUUUCCUUUUGGACUCGCUUGAGUUGCUUCUAAAUAUGCCUAUGAGUAUGAGUGGCUUGUGUCAAUCCCUCGCAGAUUUCAGUUCGGUGAAGUUGACAGAUAUUGGUGGAGCAGAAGUUACGAAAACGAUGUUACAGAAGUAGGUUAGGGCAUGGAUGAGAGAUGAAGGUGUGUUGCAGUAAAGUGUUUGACAGGAGUGGUGGUGGAGAUUGGUGAAGUGAAGAUGUGCAACCAAAUGGGGUCACUCUUACUUAAGGUUCAUUAAUCCACAGCUUUGUAAGGCAGCUGAAGAAGUAGAUCUUGCUUUAAUGUGCAUCAGCAUGUUAGUUAAAUUGAGAAACCCAUGUUAGUGGUAGUGCAUGAGAUUGGUAAGUUUUGGUGGUCUUGUUUUCAUCUAUAAAUGAAAGAGGAAAAAAAUAUUUUGGUUUUCUUUGUUAGAUUUUGAAAAUUUGUUUAUUAUAGGUUGCAGCUUGCAUGCAUGUGAGUGAGGGUGCUUAGAGAGAGGAAUGAUUCAGUUUGCCACACCUGCACCUUUGUCUUCUUGCGCAGCCUAUUACAAUUCUGCAUGAUGUCAGCUACAGCGCCUAACAGGCUGCAUUAAAUCAUAUUCUUGCUCCAACUCCAAACACAAACCACAUCUUUUGUAUAUCAUGAUCCAAGUUGAGAUAUUAUAGAAAUAAAUAUAUGUCUUUUGCCAUUCGUUUUAAUUUAUUUCUUUUUUCUUUAGAAAGUUUUAUAUGAUGGGGAGCUUUUAGUUUGGGCCCAUGUGGUUAUUUCUUCAGUUUAAAUCAUAUAUAAAUUGUCAAGAUCAUGUUACGUAUUUGCUUUUAUUUUCAGACAAAUAUAUAGUAC